rnacentral:sRNA from 1 species
UUGUAUCCUUUUUCUGAGUCAACCUAAAUUCCAUGGGGGUCACACUGGUGGGCCUCUACAUUAGCCUGCUCAUGCAGUACAUUGCAUGACAGACAAUGGGCAUUAGGCUUAGGGAAUCUACUUUAAUAGUGGCAGAAACAAGCCUGAUAUUGGUCCAGGGGGAGUCAUUGCCUUAUCGCUCCAGGUUGUUAUCUGCAAACACAACUCUGAGAAAUGGCUCAGGUAAGAACAUCACGGUCUUGUAUUGGUGGCAUACCCAGCAAGGAUGCUCAGGGCUGUUGAAGAAGUGCCUCUUCCAACACAGGGAUAUUUUUGAAAUGAAUUUAUUACAAUGGAGAUGAAUAAAGCAAACAUUUACUCAUCAUAUGCCUGAGAAAAUGUCAUGUCCCAGUGCCAGGAUAUAAGUUGUCUAAUUCAAUUUUAAUAACCCUGUGAGGUUAUGGCUAUUUUUGUCCUAUUGCAGAUGAUGAACUGAGGGCCAGAGGGAUUAGGGAGCUGGACAGAGUUCAACCAGCCAGGAAGUGGGCUAGGAGUGGUGGAGGAGAGAUUCUGUCCUGGUUUAUCUGGCCCCAAAGCAGAUCACCUUGACCGUUAUUGAAUAUUUGACAGGUGAGACCUAGAGGAGGGCAAUAGGUUGACCAAGGGCACACAGAGCAUAGAAGACAGAGCUGAGACUUGAAUGCUGGUCUCUUGACUCCAAGCCAUGGGUCUUUGUCUCCUAAUACUAACAGUUUCUGCUCGCAUCCAAGUCUGGUCCUUGCUGGCAAUAGGUUCCUAGGGCAGAGAACCAGGAGGCUGGUUGUCGGGAGUCCAUCCUGAUUUUUUGGACUGGGAAGGGGCACAAAGGAGGCAGGGCCCAGCUCUAGCUGUCUUCCCUUCUCUGGCCAGGACAAGUGGCAGCACCUGGCCUCAGAGGGCAGCAGUCGUCUGGACAUGUUUGAGCACAUCAGCCUCAUGACCUUGGACAGUCUGCAGAAAUGCAUCUUCAGCUUUGACAGCCAUUGUCAGGAGUGAGAGGCCCAGUGAAUAUAUUGCCACCAUCUUGGAGCUCAGUGCCCUUGUAGAGAAAAGAAGCCAGCAUAUCCUCCAGCACAUGGACUUUCUAUAUUACCUCUCUCACGACGGGCGGCGCUUCCACAGGGCCUGCCGCCUGGUGCACGACUUCACAGAUGCCGUCAUCCGGGAGCGGCGUCGCACCCUCCCCACUCAGGGUAUUGAUGAUUUUCUCAAGGACAAAGCCAAGUCCAAGACUUUGGAUUUCAUUGAUGUGCUUCUGCUGAGCAAGGUAGGUUUCUCUACGAUAUGAAUUUAGGUGAGAGAAUAGAGCUUCAUGUCAAAUGUCAGGUGAAAUAAAUUGGUUUUGAUCCAAAGGGCACCGGGAGCCAUGGAAGAUGCUUGAGAAAGGGAAGGUCACAGAUAGGUUUUAGAGAUGACUUUAUUGCAUGCAGCCCACAGGGCACUGCUAAUUCUGAAACUGUGAAGAGCAUGAGAUUUUAUUCAACUUACAAGUUAGUGUGUCAGUCUUUCACAUUUUUAUGUGUAUCUAUAUGUCUAUGUCUUUGUCUAUGUCUGUAUCUAUGAUAAAAGAUGCACCAAACCCCUGAAUCACAGCAGCCCAUUAAUUAUUUACAACAAUAACAGCAGGUGGAGUAGGAUGGUAGUGCUGGCUCCCCAUUCCUAGGGCAACACAAUGUUUUUAACUGUAUAUGCACAAGAAUUUGCACCAUAGGAGAGGGGCCCCCACGUUAUGAGUCUUAUAGCUUAUAUAGGACAGCUAGCUCAUAUGCUCCUUCUUUAUUACAGGGUGAAAGUUAGAGACAGAGAGAGAGAGAGAGAACGCUUUGUUCUGGAGUAUAAACUACUCCUCUCCUGUAAGAUGGCAAUUUCUAUAGUUUUAUAACCCAAAUAUCUUCUGGAAAGAUAAGAUUCUCUCAGUUUACCACUCUAGAAUGUGAGCAAAUAUUUUUGGAGCAAUACAUAAUUUCUAACCUCCAAGGCAAACUGCCAUUCAAAUAUCCUGUACCCCAGGUUGCCAGUAUCUUUUUCUCUGAAAGUCUGUAUUAUGCAGAAAAAUGAAAAUAUUUGAGAACCAUUGAUUCCUGCCACCAGGGUCCAAAGAGGAGGCAAAGGAUCUGGGGAAAGCCCUUGGAGUUGGGGCUCUGGUGAUGGUGAACAAGAGAGAUCUAGACGUGCAGAGUGCAUCUGAGUUUCUGGAAGAUCAGAGAUUCAGAGAUUAUCUCAGGGUAGACUCCGGAGUCUCAGAGAUAGUAUAAUUUGUGUGUGUGUGUGUGUGUGUGUGUGUGUGUCUAUGUGUGUGUGUGUGUGUUUGUGUGUCUUGCUUUCUCUUCAGGAUGAAGAUGGGAAGGCGUUGUCAGAUGAGGAUAUAAGAGCAGAGGCUGACACCUUCAUGUUUGGAGGCCAUGACACCACGGCCAGUGGUCUCUCCUGGGUCCUAUACAACCUUGCGAGGCACCCAGAAUACCAGGAGCGCUGCCGACAGGAGGUGCAAGAGCUUCUGAAGGACCGCGAUCCUAAAGAGAUUGAAUGGGACGACCUGGCCCAGCUGCCCUUCCUGACCAUGUGCGUGAAGGAGAGCCUGAGGUUACAUCCCCCAGCUCCCUUCAUCUCCCGACGCUGCACCCAGGACAUUGUUCUCCCAGAUGGCCGAGUCAUCCCCAAAGGCAUUAUCUGCGUCAUCAAUAUUAUAGGGGUUCAUCACAACCCAACUGUGUGGCCGGAUCCUGAGGUGCUGCCUUCCCCAUUCACCACCACCACCCCCAUCCUCUACUUUUUUGUUGUUGUUGUUAAUUCCAAGGUUCCUAGUGGAGGGGGCAGGGUUUUGAUGAGGAAAAUCCAACAUCACCUCGCCCCAACACACACACAACUGUCUCUCCAAGGCUGCUGGACAUAGGAAAUCCCAGGAGCAAACCUUUUUUGUCUCACCUGCAGGUCUAUGACCCCUUCCGCUUUGACCCAGAGAACAGCAAGGAGAGGUCACCUCUGGCUUUUAUUCCCUUCUCUGCAGGGCCCAGGAACUGCAUCGGGCAGGCGUUCGCCAUGGCAGAGAUGAAAGUGGUCCUGGCGUUGAUGCUGCUGCACUUCCGGUUCCUGCCAGACCACACGGAGCCCCGCAGGAAGCCGGAACUGAUCAUGCGCGCCGAGGGCGGGCUUUGGCUGCGGGUGGAGCCGCUGAAUGUAGGCUUGCAGUGACUCUCUGACCCAUCCACCUUUUUUUUUUGCAGAUUCGCAUGAAUAAAACGGUGCUGUCA